rnacentral:rRNA from 1 species
UACGUAGGGUGCGAGCGUUAAUCGGAUUUACUGGGCGUAAAGGGCGCGUAGGCGGCCGUGCAAGUCUGGUGUGAAAGCCCAGGGCUUAACCCUGGAAGUGCACUGGAAACUGCACGGCUCGAGUACGGUAGAGGGGGGUGGAAUUCCUGGUGUAGCAGUGAAAUGCGUAGAGAUCAGGAGGAACACCGAUGGCGAAGGCAGCCCCCUGGGCCUGUACUGACGCUCAUGCACGAAAGCGUGGGGAGCAAACAGG